UCUCCGUUGGUGAACCAGCGGAGGGAUCAUUACUGAGUUACCGCUCUACAACCCUUUGUGAACAUACCUAACUGUUGCUUCGGCGGGCAGAGGUCCCUCGCGGAUCUCUCCCGGCAACGCCCUCACGGGCGGAGCGCCCGCCGGAGGAUACCAAACUCUAUUUUAACGACGUUUCUCCUGAGUGGCACAAGCAAAUAAUUAAAACUUUUAACAACGGAUCUCUUGGUUCUG
rnacentral:misc_RNA from 1 species